rnacentral:tRNA from 1 species
GCUUAAGAAGCUGACAACCAGCGCUGGUCUUGUAAACCAGAGGUCGAGAAGAUUCUCCUUAAGCU